rnacentral:rRNA from 1 species
AGAGUUUGAUCCUGGCUCAGAUUGAACGCUGGCGGCAGGCCUAACACAUGCAAGUCGAGCGGUAGAGAGAAGCUUGCUUCUCUUGAGAGCGGCGGACGGGUGAGUAAUGCCUAGGAAUCUGCCUGGUAGUGGGGGAUAACGUUCGGAAACGGACGCUAAUACCGCAUACGUCCUACGGGAGAAAGCAGGGGACCUUCGGGCCUUGCGCUAUCAGAUGAGCCUAGGUCGGAUUAGCUAGUUGGUGAGGUAAUGGCUCACCAAGGCGACGAUCCGUAACUGGUCUGAGAGGAUGAUCAGUCACACUGGAACUGAGACAUGGUCCAGACUCCUACGGGAGGCAGCAGUGGGGAAUAUUGGACAAUGGGCGAAAGCCUGAUCCAGCCAUGCCGCGUGUGUGAAGAAGGUCUUCGGAUUGUAAAGCACUUUAAGUUGGGAGGAAGGGCAGUUACCUAAUACGUGAUUGUUUUGACGUUACCGACAGAAUAAGCACCGGCUAACUCUGUGCCAGCAGCCGCGGUAAUACAGAGGGUGCAAGCGUUAAUCGGAAUUACUGGGCGUAAAGCGCGCGUAGGUGGUUUGUUAAGUUGGAUGUGAAAUCCCCGGGCUCAACCUGGGAACUGCAUUCAAAACUGACUGACUAGAGUGUGGUAGAGGGUGGUGGAAUUUCCUGUGUAGCGGUGAAAUGCGUAGAUAUAGGAAGGAACACCAGUGGCGAAGGCGACCACCUGGACCAACACUGACACUGACGUGCGAAAGCGUGGGGAGCAAACAGGAUUAGAUACCCUGGUAGUCCACGCCGUAAACGAUGUCAACUAGCCGUUGGGAGCCUUGAGCUCUUAGUGGCGCAGCUAACGCAUUAAGUUGACCGCCUGGGGAGUACGGCCGCAAGGUUAAAACUCAAAUGAAUUGACGGGGGCCCGCACAAGCGGUGGAGCAUGUGGUUUAAUUCGAAGCAACGCG